rnacentral:piRNA from 1 species
UCCAAAGUUGUGUAGGACUGCGUGCCAU